rnacentral:rRNA from 1 species
GACAGAGGGUGCAAACGUUGCUCGGAAUCACUGGGCGUAAAGGGCGUGUAGGCGGAUCGGCAAGUCGGGAGUGAAAUCUCUGGGCUCAACUCAGAGACUGCUUCCGAAACUGCUGUGCUGGAGUGUGGGAGAGGCGCGUGGAAUUGCAGGUGUAGCGGUGAAAUGCGUAGAUAUCUGGAGGAACACCGGUGGCGAAGGCGGCGUCCUGGACCAACACUGACACUGAGGAGCGAAAGCCAGGGGAGCAAACGGG